rnacentral:rRNA from 1 species
AUUGAACGCUGGCGGAAUGCUUUACACAUGCAAGUCGAGCGGCAGCGCGGGGCAACCUGGCGGCGAGCGGCGAACGGGUGAGUAAUACAUCGGAACGUACCCAGAUGUGGGGGAUAGCCCGGCGAAAGCCGGAUUAAUACCGCAUACGACCGGAGGGUGAAAGUGGGGGAUCGCACGACCGCACGCAGUUGUAGCGGUCGAUGGCGGAUUAGCUAGUUAGUAGGGGAAAGGCCAACCAAGGCGACGAUCCGUAGCGGGUCUGAGAGGCCGACCCGCCACACUGGAACUGAGGCACGGUCCAGACUCCUACGGGAGGCAGCAGUGGGGAAUUUUGGACGAUGGGGGCAACCCUGAUCCAGCCAUUCCGCGUGAGUGAAGAAGGCCUUCGGGUUGUAAAGCUCUUUCGGCAGGAACGAAACGGUGGGCUCUAACAUAGCCUGCUAAUGACGGUACCUGAAGAAGAAGCACCGGCUAACUACGUGCCAGCAGCCGCCGUAAAAC